AGAGACAAAGAUGGUUGAUGUGAAGGAACUGAAAAUACAGUGGAUUGUUGCCAAGAGAAGGAGAAGCCAUGGGCUGUUCUGCUGGUCCCAGAGGUUUGGUUAGAUUGGUGAGAAAAACCAGGCCAAGCAGGGAAGAGGCUUGUUGGAGGCCAAACACCAAGCCGGUGGCAGGGGUGGAAACAGAAACGAUUUUCAGGUCUGUAAAAAAUGCCACUGGUGGGCCUCCUUGGUGGUGCAGUGGUUAAGAAUCUGCCGGCCAAUGCAGGAGACAUGGGUUCGAGCCCUGCUCUGGAAAGAUCCCACAUGCCGAGGAGCAACUAAGCCCGUGCACCACAACUACUGAGCCUGCGCCCUAGAGCCCACGAGCCACAACUACUGAGCUGACGCACCACAUCUACUGAAGCCCGUGCGCUCUAGAGACUGUGCUCAGCAACAAGAGAAGCCCACACACCACAACGAAGAGUAGCCCCUGCUCGCUGCAACUAGAGAAAGCCUGCGUGCAGCAACGAAGACCCAACACAGCCAAAAAUAAUAAAUAAAAAUAAAUUUAUUAAAAAAUACUAUACUAAUAUCAAUAAAAAUAAUAAUAUGUUUAAAAAA